UACGUAGGGUGCGAGCGUUGUCCGGAAUUAUUGGGCGUAAAGAGCGUGUAGGCGGCCAGGUAGGUCUGGUGUGAAAACUCGAGGCUUAACCUCGAGAUGUCAUCGGAAACCAUUUGGCUAGAGUCCGGAAGAGGAGAGUGGAAUUCCUGGUGUAGCGGUGAAAUGCGCAGAUAUCGGGAAGAACACCAAUGGCGAAAGCAGCUCUCUGGGACGGUACUGACGCUGAGACGCGAAAGCGUGGGGAGCGAACAGG
rnacentral:rRNA from 1 species